UCACAGUUGACCAGGUCAAAUUCAAGAACAGAGAAAAGUCUCAAGGUGUGAAUUUUCAGGGAAAGUAUCUUGGGUAAAGUGCAGUAAAACUCACGUGUAUAAUUACUGAAUCAGCUAAUAAAAACGAAGCGUCGAUGACAUAAGUGAUUUAUUCAUGAAAAUCAGUUGGAUUCAAUAUUCAAAGUGAUGGUCUUAAGAAAUUGUCAAAUAUCGGACCAGAGGCUAAGUUAAAGGAAAGAGUCAAAGUGCUUGAUGAUGGACAAGAUCAUUUCUGUUGAAGAAAGAAGAUAUUCUGCAAAUCAACAACACACAUCCAAAAUACUUCAUAAUUGCUGGAAAGGAGGCUACAUCUAUUGCCAUAAUUUGGUUCAUUUACAUGCUCUGCAAACAUCCUCAUAUUCAA